rnacentral:rRNA from 1 species
GUUAUGAUCCAGAGUACCACGAGACACGUGAAACCUUGUGGGAAGCAGGGAGGACCACCUCCCAAGGCUAAAUACUACCUGAUGACCGAUAGUGAAGCAGUACCGUGAGGGAAAGGUGAAAAGAACCCCGGGAGGGGAGUGAAAUAGAACCUGAAACCGUGUGCCUACAACCGCUCAGAGCCCCUUAUGAGGGUGAUGAGGUGCUUUUUGUAGAACGAGCCAACGAGUUACGGUAUGUAGCAAGGUUAAGUACUUAAGGUACGGAGCCGAAGGGAAACCGAGUCUGAAUAGGGCGACUAGUUGCAUGCCGUAGACCCGAAACCGGGUGACCUAUCCAUGGCCAGGUUGAAGCGAGGGUAAAACCUCGUGGAGGACCGAACCACGUUGCUGUUGAAAAAGCAUGGGAUGAGCUGUGGAUAGCGGAGAAAUUCCAAUCGAACCCGGAGAUAGCUGGUUCUCUCCGAAAUAGCUUUAGGGCUAGCGUCGAGUAUGAGUAGUGGAGGUAGAGCACUGAAUGGGCUAGGGGGCAUAGCGCUUACCGAACCUUAUCAAACUCCGAAUGCCACAUACUUUGAGCUCGGCAGUCAGACUACGAAUGAUAAGAUCCGUGGUCAAAAGGGAAACAGCCCAGAUCGUCAGCUAAGGUCCCAAAGUGUAAGUUAAGUGGGAAAGGAUGUGAGAUUUCUAAGACAACUAGGAUGUUGGCUUAGAAGCAGCCAUUCAUUAAAAGAGUGCGUAAUAGCUCACUAGUCGAGAGAUCUUGCGCCGAAAAUGUAACGGGGCUAAACUUACC